GCAAUGUGUAUCGGGUUUCAGUAGACAAAAAUACCCCUAUAUAUCAUGAAUUCUAAGUUUUAAGGUUAAGAGUAUUUUAAUAAUUUUCAUUCUCAAAAUUAAAAAAAUAAAAAAAGAAACCCCCAAACCCUUACCCAUCUCUCUCAUUCUUCUCAACCAUUUCUCUUUCAUCUCUUUCACUCCAACCUUUUCUUUUCUCUGUCAUCCCUACUCUCUCCAAUUGAAAAAAAUCAGAAACACUUGCCUUAUUUUAAUAAUUUUCAUUUUCAAAACUAAAAAAGAAAAACCCCAAACCUUUACUCACCUCCUUCAUUCCUCUCAACCCUUUCUCCUUCAUCUCUCUCACUCAAACAUUUUCUCUGUCAUCUUUGCACUAGCUCCAACUAAAAAAACAUUCAUCAUUAAACGAUUUACUUUUGUAAAGAGUUGAGUCAUAUUCACCUUUCGAAAAAAGUUCAUUCAAAAUCUCUUUAAUUUCAUUAUCUUCACUAUAUAUAUUACAGUCGACAGGCACAACUUGCACCAAGACUUAUGAGUAUCCUUCCUUUACAUUCCUUUACAUUCUGAGACUACUACGUAACAUUGUUCCGUGACCAUUUAAUUUUUUUGGUAGAAAUUCAUUAACUUGUUUUCCUUUACUAAAGAAAAAAACAAAUCAAAAUACAAUAAAAUACUCAAUUAUAAAAUCAAACAACAAUAAAAAUUCUAAAUCUUGAAAUUUUAUUUAUAAUUAUAUAAAGAAAAAAUUAGGUGCUUUAAUUUUUUUAUUUAUGUAAGUAUUUUUUUUCUCUAACCAUUUUAUUUAAUAAUGAGUGUUUUUUUAGUUAAAGGUAGUGCAGAGAUGACAGAGGAAAUGUGUUGAGUGAGAGAGAUGAAAGAGAAAUGGUUGAGAGGAAUGAAGGAGGUGAGUAAGGGUUUGGGUUUUUUUUUUUUUUAAUUUUGAGAAUGAAAAUUAUUAAAAUAAAAGUGUUUUUGAUUUUUUUCAAUUAGAGAAAAUGUUGGAGUGAAAGAGAUGAAAGAGAAAGGUUGAGAGGAAUACGAGAGGUGGAUAAGGGAUUGGGGGUUUCUUUUUUUAUUUUUUUAAUUUUGAGAAUGAAAAUUAUUAAAAUACCCUUAACUUUAAAACUUAGAAUUCAUGAUAUAAGGGUAUUUUUGUCUACUGAAACCCGGUACACAUUACUAAAAUGUACCAACUGAAAAACAGG
rnacentral:lncRNA from 1 species